rnacentral:rRNA from 1 species
AAGAGUUUGAUCCUGGCUCAGAUUGAACGCUGGCGGCAGGCCUAACACAUGCAAGUCGAGCGGAUGAGGGUAGCUUGCUACCUGAUUCAGCGGCGGACGGGGGAGUAAUGCCUAGGAAUCUGCCCGAUAGUGGGGGACAACGUUUCGAAAGGAACGCUAAUACCGCAUACGUCCUACGGGAGAAAGCAGGGGACCUUCGGGCCUUGCGCUAUCGGAUGAGCCUAGGUCGGAUUAGCUAGUUGGUGGGGUAAAGGCUCACCAAGGCGACGAUCCGUAACUGGUCUGAGAGGAUGAUCAGUCACACUGGAACUGAGACACGGUCCAGACUCCUACGGGAGGCAGCAGUGGGGAAUAUUGGACAAUGGGCGAAAGCCUGAUCCAGCCAUGCCGCGUGUGUGAAGAAGGUCUUCGGAUUGUAAAGCACUUUUAGUCGGAAAGAAAAGCACCGGGUUAAUACCCUGGUGUCAUGACGGUACCGGAAGAAUAAGCACCGGCUAACUUCGUGCCAGCAGCCGCGGUAAUACGAAGGGUGCAAGCGUUACUCGGAAUUACUGGGCGUAAAGCGUGCGUAGGCGGUUUGUUAAGUCUGAUGUGAAAGCCCUGGGCUCAACCUGGGAAUGGCAUUGGAUACUGGCAAUCUAGAAUGUGGUAGAGGGUGGCGGAAUUCCCGGUGUAGCAGUGAAAUGCGUAGAUAUCGGGAGGAACAUCCGUGGCGAAGGCGGCCACCUGGACCAACAUUGACGCUGAGGCACGAAAGCGUGGGGAGCAAACAGGAUUAGAUACCCUGGUAGUCCACGCCCUAAACGAUGCGAACUGGAUGUUGGGCUUUUGGAGCAAUUCAGUAACGAAGCUAACGCGUGAAGUUGACCGCCUGGGGAGUACGGCCGCAAGGUUAAAACUCAAAGGAAUUGACGGGGACCCGCACAAGCGGUGGAUGAUGUGGUUUAAUUCGAUGCAACGCGAAAAACCUUACCCACCUUUGACAUGUACGGAAGAUCGCAGAGACGCGAUUGUGCUCGAAAGAGAACCGUAACACAGGUGCUGCAUGGCUGUCGUCAGCUCGUGUCGUGAGAUGUUGGGUUAAGUCCCGCAACGAGCGCAACCCUUGCCAUUAGUUGCUACAUUCAGUUGGGCACUCUAAUGGGACUGCCGGUGACAAACCGGAGGAAGGUGGGGAUGACGUCAAGUCCUCAUGGCCCUUAUAGGUGGGGCUACACACGUCAUACAAUGGCUGGUACAAAGGGUUGCCAACCCGCGAGGGGGAGCUAAUCCCAUAAAGCCAGUCGUAGUCCGGAUCGUAGUCUGCAACUCGACUACGUGAAGUCGGAAUCGCUAGUAAUCGUGGAUCAGAAUGUCACGGUGAAUACGUUCCCGGGUCUUGUACACACCGCCCGUCACACCAUGGGAGCGGGUUCUGCCAGAAGUAGUUAGCCUAACCGCAAGGAGGGCGAUUACCACGGCAGGGUUCGUGACUGGGGUGAAGUCGUAACAAGGUAACCAG